rnacentral:rRNA from 1 species
CGGACGGGUGAGUAAUGUCUGGGAAACUGCCUGAUGGAGGGGGAUAACUACUGGAAGCGGUAGCUAAUACCGCAUAACGUCGCAAGACCAAAGAGGGGGACCUUAGGGCCUCUUGCCAUCGGGUGUGCCCAGAUGGGAUUAGCUUGUUGGUGGGGUAACGGCUCACCAAGGCGACGAUCCCUAGCUGGUCUGAGAGGAUGACCAGCCACACUGGAACUGAGACACGGUCCAG